ensembl:lncRNA
GUAUCUUUAUGCCUUUUUGGUAGUUUUAUAGUGACAAAAGCAUACCUCAAAUCCAAAUGUAAUGACAGCUUUAUGCAGCAAGAUAUAGUCCGGACUAAACCUGUUGGAGAUACUCUUAGUUAAUCACAUAGAAUAACAUCCAUAAUAGUUCCAUGAGUUUUUAAGACUGUUUGCUACUUGCAAUGGUAGUGUUCAAGUCCAGUCAGGACUGGAUUUUCAUUGAAAGAACACUACCCAAAUGCUGUGAUCUAUGCUCUACAAACUUGCCAUUCAUUGUAAGACCAAUGCAAUAUGUAAUCAUAGAAUGGCUUGGGCUGGAAAAGCCCUUAAAAACCAUAUAAUUCCAACCCCUCUGCCAUGGACAGGGACACCUCCUGCUAGAUCAGAUAAUGAUGAGAAAGAGAUUUUUCUUCAAAUUCAUCAUCAAAACUGUGACAUCUUAUUUAUGUGGUAGAACCAGAUGUAGUAUUUUCUGUUCCGUGUUCUGAGGACAUUUAUUUGAACCUAAUAUAACCUACUAAAUAUAGCCAUAGAUCAUCAUUUCGGGGAAGAAAAUUCAAAGUUCUUAAGUCUCUUUUCAAGUACCUUAAGUCCUACAGGUUUGCUAAGACAUACUUUUAAGUCUGCAGUCCUAAUUUAUCCUGCUAUUUAGGUGAGAAUCAAACAUAACAUUUGGAUACAGAGCAAAACAAGAACUUUAAAACAAGAUGUAUUUGAGCUAUGUUUUUUCCCACAUCAACACACAAAACACUCACAGUCUCCCUCCUACUGAGUUUUAAAAGGGUGAGAAGGGUGGGGGGAAACAGCUAAAAAUUAGCUGAGAAAAAGAGCACCUGUGAGUUAAUUAUUUGAAAGACUUUAUCUCUGCGUCAAGUUCUAUAUUUUCUUUGUUUCAACAUCAGCAACUCUUUCUAUUUCCUUUCUUCUGCUACUCUACAUUAGGUAUCCAAGCUUUGUCUCUCUCACUUAAGUGAAAUUGUAUUUCUGAGUAUGCCAAUAAAGCAUGUCUUCUCCAGGUGGCCUUGCCUUUUCCUGAUGUGGACCAAAAGAAGUAAAAAUGGAUCCAUCCUGCAUUGCUGUGGGUAUGGUGGGAGUAUCAAGGAACAGACUUGCCUGUAUGGUUACAAGAAACAGUCCAAAGAAAGAGACAUUAAACAACAGAGCUGGAAUCAAGCGAACACAUCACAAAACAAAAUAGCAGAUUUCAUCAAUACAGGAGAAAAAUAUCCUCUUGGAGGAAGAAGAAAAGAUGUAUUUUGUUCAAGUAGUAAGCUACUUGUAUUUUCUCCUAAAGUACCUCUUCAAUAGUUCAAGGCUGCAAUCACUGCUUUAUAGAAUUCAUUUGAAACAAAGAUAUUAAAUAUGUUUUUUUUGUUUGUUUGUUUGUGUAAUACAUGACUUUUUUAAAGUCUUCUGGGUCACUUCAAGAACAAUGGUUCUUCAACAGGUAAGGACAACUUGAAUUGCUUUCCUUUUCACUUGUUACACAAUUGUGUAACUUUGUAGAUUUCAUGGUUGUUCUUUUUUUAUUUAUGCCAGUGUAAGGGUUUCAUCCAAAGACUACUGUAUCACUGAAGAAAUUUUGAUUAACUUACACAGGCUUAAGAUAAGGGUGUAAAUAAAAGAGGAACUCUGAAUCA